GUUCAAGCCGCCGCGGUAAUACGUAGGGGGCUAGCGUUGUCCGGAUUUAUUGGGCGUAAAGAGCGUGUAGGCGGCCAAGUAAGUCCGGUGUGAAAACUCGAGGCUUAACCUCGAGAUGUCAUCGGAAACUAUUUGGCUAGAGUCCGGAAGAGGAGAGUGGAAUUCCUGGUGUAGCGGUGAAAUGCGCAGAUAUCAGGAAGAACACCUAUGGCGAAAGCAGCUCUCUGGGACGGUACUGACGCUGAGACGCGAAAGCGUGGGGAGCGAACAGGAUUAGAAACCCCUGUAGUCC
rnacentral:rRNA from 1 species